rnacentral:lncRNA from 1 species
AUCAAGGAGAAGCUCCCUGGUGGCCACGGUGACCAGCAGCACAACGCUGGCACCUACGGCUACGGACAGCAGGGUACUGGCAUGGCCGGCACCGGCGGAACCUACGGGCAGCAGGGUCACACUGGGAUGACCGGGAUGGGAGCCACUGACGGCACCUACGGACAGCAAGGCCACACUGGGAUGGCCGGCACCGGGGCACAUGGCACCGCGGCCACCGGCGGCACCUACGGGCAGCAGGGCCACACCGGGAUGACAGGCACGGGCAUGCACGGCACCGGUGGCACCUACGGGCAGCACGGCACCGACACCGGCGAGAAGAAGGGCAUCAUGGACAAGAUCAAGGAGAAGCUCCCUGGCCAGCACUGAGCGCUCCGAGCCCAGCCCCCGCGGCCGCCACUUCUGAGUGUGGAGGUGCCGGUCGACCACCGUUGCAGAAUCAAUAAUAAGAUGGCGAUACAAUAAAAUUCCACCAUACAACGUGAGCAUAGUUCACCUAGCUCACUUGGCUGUUGGAGGGGCGAAUGUAUCUAGUUCAAGUUUACGUGAACAACACUGUGUUAAGAGUGUUUUCGUCUGUUUACACUAUAUAAUCUUGUAAAUUUCCUUUUUGGUUCAACCAUGGUAUCUAUGUAUGCUUACGGUAUGGUCCUCGCAUAUAAAGUUAUUCUAUCAAAGAGCAUUACGAAUGUAAGAUCAGCUCGGUUAAGCCACGAGGCCUGUAAAUUUGUUUGCGGAGCGGAAGUCUAUUUUUUGAAAUGAAGAAAAUGACCCAAAGGCCUGAAACAACAACCGGAUAUGAAUUGUAUAGACGUCAAAUAAAAAGUUCUUUUUUUGGAAAUGUCAAACAAAAAGGUUGAGAGAAGAAUGUUCGACUUCAAGUCCCCAACCAAAUCGAGUCUUAAGAUUUUUACUGAAGUAGAAGUCACAUAAGGACUCACACAUGAUAAAACUAAGCUUAACAUCAACGUACGUCAUCAGUUCGGACCUCCAAAAUGAAGCACCUCCUCAUUCCAGUUCGGACCUCCAAAAUGAAGCACGAACCAACCGAGGCAACACCAAAAAAUAACGAGCUUUCAAACCUCCAAGGUGAAGCACAAAUCAGACCGAGGCAGCAUCCUGGAUCCCGACUAAGACGAACCAUACCCGCCAACCACAUCCCAUCACGACUAAGACGAACCAUACCCGUCAACCAUGAACCAGCAUAGACGAACCAUACCCGUCAACUAUGAACCAGCAUACGUUUCUUUCUUCAUAUGUAGUUGAUGUAGUCCAUAAUUUACAUCCACUUCUCAACUAUUUUUCAAGCUCCGCACCAACGGUGAAGCAAACGCCGUAGUCCAUAAUUUACAUCCACUUCUGAACUAUCUUUUAAGCACUGCACCGACGCUGAAGCAAACGACGUCUUAACGUCGGAGCAUGAGAACACAAGCACGAGAACACAAGUUCAUCACGAGGAUAUCAUCGUCGCCAUCCGGUCCUUACAUAAACAAACUAGUUUUCAAAUCCAUCCUAAAUUAUUGAACUGAUGGACUCAUCAAGUAAGGACCUGAAGUAUCUUUUUUUUGACGUUAUCAUCAUCCCCGUCGAUGCCAAAAUGAUAAUCAACCAAACAAUCAAGACUACAAGAAGUAAAGCAAUCCACACACAUGGAUCUAACGAUCCCCUUACGACUGAUGAUCGAGGUCGCCGGUAAAAAGGAGCCAUUGAAAGACAGUGUUGUAAGAUUGCUCUCUCCUGACGGCGGCCAUGGUUCGAGCCAUCGGGGGGAAAGAAAAAUGAGAGCGACGGGCUUGGAGGGAGGAAGAUGGGUCCUUGAACUCUUUUUCUUUUUUGAGAGCAUAUAUUACCAUGGACUCUUCACUGGUGCACGUAUUCUCUACAAAAAAAUCACGUUUAUAAUACAAAACGAUAAGUACCGUUCCCAAACAUACUCCUAUCUAUUUGAUGGUUCCAAAUUUAGUUGCUCGACAAGAUUCCUUUGAAGCCUUACCUUGCAUGGGACCCACCCUCAUAUAGAACUGACAAUUUCCCGAGCGUUGUCGUAGGAAUUGUUGGCAAUAUUUUUAAAUGAUACUUGUUUAUGUGUAGUGUGAAUAUUACAAUUAACAACAUGAGCAUAAAGCUUNNNNNNNNNNNNNNNNNNNNNNNNNNNNNNNNNNNNNNNNNNNNNNNNNNNNNNNNNNNNNNNNNNNNNNNNNNNNNNNNNNNNNNNNNNNNNNNNNNNNAAGCUUUGACACAGAUCCGGACGACUCUAAGUCGCAAACCGGAUACGUAUUUAUUCUUAAUGGGGGUGCAGUAAGCUGGUGCAGUUCCAAGCAAAGCGUCGUAGCAGAUUCUACAUGUGAAGCGGAGUACAUGGCUGCCUCGGAGGCGGCUAAGGAGGGUGUCUGGAUGAAGCAGUUCAUGAUGGAUCUUGGAGUGGUGCCAAGUGCACUGGAUCCAAUAACCUUGUUCUGUGACAACACUGGUGCCAUUGCCUUAGCAAAGGAACCAAGGUUUCACAAGAAGACCAGACACAUCAAACGACGCUUCAACCUCAUCCGCGACUAUGUCGAGGAGGAGGACGUAAAUAUAUGCAAAGUGCACACGGAUCUGAAUGUAGCAGACCCGCUAACUAAACCUCUUCCACGGCCAAAACAUGAUCGACACCAGAACUGUAUGGGUGUUAGAUUUAUUACAAUGUAAUUCACAUGGUGAUGUGAGGGCUAGAUUAUUGACUCUAGUGCAAGUGGGAGACUGUUGGAAUUAUGCCCUAGAGGCAAUAAUAAAUGUAUAGUUAUUAUUAUAAUUCCUGUAUCAAGAUAAUAGUUUAUUAUCCAUGCUAUAAUUGUAUUGAAUGAAGACUCAUUUACAUGUGUGGAUACAUAGACAAAACACCGUCCCUAGCAUGCCUCUAGUUGGCUAGCCAAUUGAUCGAUGAUAGUCAGUGUCUUCUGAUUAUGAACAAGGUGUUGUUGCUUGAUAACUGGAUCACGUCAUUGGGAGAAUCACGUGAUGGACUAGACCCAAACUAAUAGACGUAGCAUGUUGAUCGUGUCAUUUUGUUGCUACUAUUUUCUGCGUGUCAAGUAUUUAUUCCUAUGACCAUGAGAUCAUAUAACUCACUGACACCGGAGGAAUGCUUUGUGUGUAUCAAACGUCGCAACGUAACUGGGUGACUAUAAAGAUGCUCUACAGGUAUCUCCGAAGGUGUUAGUUGAGUUAGUAUGGAUCAAGACUGGGAUUUGUCACUCCGUGUGACGGAGAGGUAUCUCGGGGCCCACUCGGUAAUACAACAUCACACAUAAGCCUUGCAAGCAAUGUAACUUAGUGUAAGUUGCGGGAUCUUGUAUUACGGAACGAGUAAAGAGACUUGCCGGUAAACGAGGUUGAAAUAGGUAUACGGAUACUGACGAUCGAAUCUCGGGCAAGUAACAUACCGAAGGACAAAGGGAAUGACAUACGGGAUUAUACGAAUCCUUGGCACUAAGGUUCAAACGAUAAGAUCUUCGUAGAAUAUGUAGGAUCCAAUAUGGGCAUCCAGGUCCCGCUGUUGGAUAUUGACCGAGGAGUCUCUCGGGUCAUGUCUACAUAGUUCUCGAACCCGCAGGGUCUGCACACUUAAGGUUCGACGUUGUUUUAUGCGUAUUUGAGUUAUAUGGUUGGUUACCGAAUGUUGUUCGGAGUCCCGGAUGAGAUCACGGACGUCACGAGGGUUUCCGGAAUAGUUCGGAAACGAAGAUUGAUAUAUAGGAUGACCUCAUUUGAUUACCGGAAGGUUUUCGGAGUUACCGGGAAUGUACCGGGAAUGACGAAUGGGUUCCGGGAGUUCACCGGAGGGGGGCAACCCACUCCGGGGAAGCCCAUAGGCAUUUGGGGGGUCACACCAACCCUUAGUGGGCUGGUGGGACAGCCCACCAAUGCCCUAUGCGCCAAGAGAGAAAAAACCAAAGGAAAGGAAAAAAAAAGGAAGAAGUGGGAAGGGGGAAGGACUCCCUCCCACCAAACCAAGUAGGACUCGGUUUGGGGGGGGGGAGAGUCCUCCCCCCUGGCUCAGCCGACCCCUUGGGGAUCCCUUGGACCCCAAGGCAAGGUCCCCCUCCCUCCUCCUAUAUAUAUGGGGCUUUUAGGGCAGAUUUGAGACGACUUUCUCACGGCUGCCCGACCACAUACCUCCAUAGUUUUUCCUCUAGAUCGUGUUUCUGCGGAGCUCGGGCGGAGCCCUGCUGAGACAAGAUCAUCACCAACCUCCGGAGCGCCGUCACGCUGCCGGAGAACUCUUCUACCUCUCCGUCUCUCUUGCUGGAUCAAGAAGGCCGAGAUCAUCGUCGAGCUGUACGUGUGCUGAACGCGGAGGUGCCGUCCGUUCGGUACUAGAUCGUGGGACUGAUCGCGGGAUUGUUCGCGGGGCGGAUCGAGGGACGUGAGGACGUUCCACUACAUCAACCGCGUUCUCUAACGCUUCUGCUGUACGAUCUACAAGGGUACAUAGAUCACUCAUCCCCUCUCGUAGAUGGACAUCACCAUGAUAGGUCUUCGUGCGCGUAGGAAAUUUUUUGUUUCCCAUGCGACGUUCCCCAACAGUUUCCCCCUGGGGAGACCGACUGAGCUACAUACUCUAGAUCAACUUUCACUCGUCUAACAAUGAGGACGAGUAUGAAGCCCUCAUGUAUAGUCUCUGUAUGGCCAUCUCACUCGGCAUUCCUCGUUUGAUGGUCUACAGUUAUUCGGACCUCGUUGUCAACUAGGUGAAUAAUGAGUGGGAUAUUCGAUGCCGAGGUAUGACUGGUUACUGCAACCCAGUUAGGAAGCUGGAGAAAAAAAAUUGAAGGCUUGGAGCUGCACCACGUACCAAGGUUGAGAACCAGACAGUAGAUGACUUGGCCAAGAUCGGGUCCACUUGGCGAGCCAUUCCAAAAGGCGUGUUCCUUGAACGUCUGCACGCCCCUACAAUUAAAGAAGAUCCUUCCAUAGAGGAGCCCCACACAAGAAGUCGGCUCAUCAAAUUCAACUGAGGUUGGCGUUCCAGCAAUGGUCGAUUUGGUCCAUGAGAUGCUGGUAAUCACUCCCGAGUGGACUCAGUCUUAUUUAGCAUACUUGCUCUGGCAAGAGCUCCCAGAAGACAAAGUGGCAGCCCACCAAAUCUUCUAACGGUCUAUGGCCUUUGAAGUAAUGGGAGACCAGCUAUACAAGAAAAGCACUACAGGAGUCAGACAGAAAUGCAUUUCUCGAAAGGAAGGGCUGCAAAUCUUACACGAGAUUCACUCGGGAACUUGUGAUCACCAUGCUUACUCUCGGACGUUGGUUGCCAAAGCCUUCUGAGCAAGGUUUUAUUGUUCUUGAGCCAAUGAGGCAGCAAGAGACUUGGUUGAGCUAUGUGUUGGAUGCCAGUGGUACAAGAAUCUUUCGCACGAGCCUGCAUCCACAUUGAAGACAAUUCUGCUCACCUGGCCAUUUUCCGUUUGGGGUCUCAACAUAGUCCACUCCCUACGGACCGGGACGAGUGAAUUUACCCACCUACUAGUGGCGGUGGACAAGUUCACCAAGUGGGUCGAAGCGAAGCCCAUCAAAAGCUUGGAUUCUGUGACUUCCACCAGCUUCAUUCGGCGGAUUAUCUUCAGAUUUGGAGUUCCACAUGAUAUCAUCACUGACAACGGGUCCAAUUUUGACUCAGAGUUCUGCUACUCCCAAGGCACUCGGGUUAACUAUGCCUCCCUGGCGUACCCGCAGUCAAAUGGAGAGGCAGAGCAAGUGAAUGGAAUGAUAUAACAAGGACUGAAGCCUCGUCUGUUGAGAGACCUAAAGUACACCGCUGGGGCCUGGGUCGGAGAGGUGUCGUCCGUCUUAUGGGACAUGUGAACGACUCUGAAUCGCUCCACCAAGCGCACUCCUUUCUUCACGUUGUACGGGUCUGAACCCGUCUUGCCGAGAUGUGUUCGACGCGAGACAUGUCAAACUCCUUUGUGCCGAUCCGUUCGACGCGAGAUGUGUCAAACUGCAUUUUAUCCAAGGUAUCCUCAUAAAUGAAGUUUAAGCCACUCCCACCAUUAGUACCUUGGAUAGUUUUAAACCAUCUAUAAUGGAAUUGAGGACUAGUGCGGAAGGUGUUUGGUUAGAACGUAUUCCAGGCCGGAAUUCCUCCAUGAUGGUUAUAGGCGUGUUCGUUCAAGGAUUUAUUGCUGCCACCAUGAAUACCUGGUUGGUUUCUCGGAGAGCCCUUUUCCUUUGAUUGUUUGUGAAGAAAGUCUCAUAAAUUAUGAGUACGUCGACACUGUUGUGAGGCAGUUUGGAUGAAUGCCCAUGGAGUUGUUGGGUUCCGAGGAUAUCCUCCCCACUGUUAGCUACCUGCCUAACGACCCAACAAGCUCGAAGCAUGUGAGUCGAGACAUUGUUGGGUAGUACGGAAUGUAUAGGACAUGGGUUGUCCGGUAGUUUAUCAAGUACGAUUGGCGUGCCGCUUCCUCCGAGCUUCUCUGGGCUGCUCAGUAUGGAUUGGUUCCACUUGCAAUUGUUGAGACUGCCAGGUGCUUUCCAUGGCACAGUAUUUACAUACCAAUGUAGAAAGAUCGGUAAGGCUUCGUAUGCGGCGGCGGGUGAGGGCAUUUAAGAUUCCCUACUCAUGGCAGUUAUGCUAGAAUAUGUCUAUAAUAUCCUGACCAUUGCAAUCUGGUAUCUGGUUUAUGGUCAGUAGAAAUCUAGCCGGGAAGUGUUGGACUGUUUCCUAUGGCUCUUACCAGACGCGGUGGAGGUCCCGCAUGCUAGGCUUUUCUCAUAUGCUCAGAUGGCGCCUAGAUUGGGAGGCGGGUGGGAAAAAAAUUGGUGUUUCAACAAAACACGUGCCUCUGGUAUCGCCAAUCGUAUUCGAUACCAUUGAGCAGUUCAGAACAACAAGUUUGAAGCAUGGACGGCCGGCCGAAAACGACUGCUUGCAUUCCUAAUUGAGUUCAGGACGUAACUCGAUUGCCGGUUCACCUAGAGAGUCCGGGGUUAUUGGAUACCGAGACAUAGAUGGUACUGAGUUCCGGUGAUCGGGAGGGUGAGCCUCCCGCUAAUUCCUCAACGGUGGCAAUCAGGUGUGUGGUGGGAUAUGGAUUUCCUUGUCAUCAGGUCUGAUCCUGACCUGGUCGUAGAUCGAUGAUUGGUCGUGGGAUACUCACAUGGCCUGAAUUCGGCCAAGCAGCUCGUCUAAUUCCUUAACAUUCACGGUGUCCAAGCUCCUGAAAUCCGUGGGAUCAACCAGGGGCGUCACUGUCGUUGGAAUAUUCGGAGUCAUGCCAGAGUUGCGUUCACCCGCCGGUGAUCCGCAUAAAGUGCCUGACCCGGGCUUCGCGACCGGAGCCUGGUUGGGAGUCAUCUUGAGGACGAGAUGUGCCGCCUCUGAUGUCGAAGCAUCGAAGGUAAAAGGUGUUUUUAGAAUAAGGUCACCUCGGGGAUCGACGACGAACUCUAAGUUUCCGAACCUGAUCUUGAUCGGGGGCGAGGCUUCCAAUUCGGUCUAGGCGACCGAUUGGAUCGUCAUGCAGCAAGACACUACGGAACGUGAAGGCCUGCCUAGGUGUUGGGGAUAUUGCCUAUUAAGUGACCCGCCAAAUGUGGGCCGGGUUACUUGUAAGGCGAUUCAUCCUUUAGGGUUAGUUGGGCCUCAGCCUGGGAGGUUCAAAGUCGCAGGAUGGCUAUGAUUUAUGGAAGGUCUCCGGGUUUUACAAGACGGCGACUUAGAAACCGUGGUGGUCACGAUUCGUAAAGAGGAAGGGACUUUUGUAAACCCUGAGGCUUCGACCUAUAUAUAAAGGCGAGUCUGGAGGAGGAGAGGCAGGUUAGAAAUCAUCGAGUGCUAGGUAAGGCGAGUUACGCCUUUCUUGUAAUCGAAUCCACAUCAAUACACGCCAAGCAGGACGUAGGCUAUUACCUCCACGCGAGGGGCCGAACCUGGGUAAAUCGCCGUGUCUCUCUCGCUUAACCCCUUUGAGUCGCCACCAAGGUGCGAUGGCUCCAGUACUAAGUCCUUUCACGAGGACAUCUGCCGUGACAAAACCACGACAGUUGGCGCCCACCGUGGGGCCUACGCACGGUGGAGUUGAGUUCUCAAAGGGAGCCCUACCAGGGUUUGGGAGUUAUGCGGCAGCGCUCAUGACUUGGAGCCGACGCGGCAUAGCCUACAUCGACAACCGGCGAUGGGGACCUGAAGCAAAUUCUCUCGAAUCAGGCUACAGGGUCCCCUUCGGCAAGAUCAACGUCUUCAUCGUCAUGAUCGGGUCAUCUGUUCCCGAGCCGGACAUCUCCUCCGCCAUCGUCGAGCCGGCCAGGUACGUUCAUCCAGUCACAACACGGAAUCUGACCCACCCGGUCUUUGUGGGGUUCACGCAGGGGUCAGAGGAGCCAGAGCACGCGGCGGCUCAGGAGGUUACCCCCAUCAACUCUGACGACGAAUCGUCCAUGGGCGAUUCAGAUUCCAUCCAGUCCCUCCACGGAGACGGUCUCGGUGGCUUGUCAUUGGCCAUGGAUCCGGAAAUCCUCGAUCGAACCCGCCGCCAGAUCGCCAUCUACAUGGCCGGGGCGACUCAACCCGCACAGAGCCCCGCCAGAGGCGAUGGGACCGGCGGGACAUCCAGAAGUGCGUCAGCAGUCCUGGUGGACUUAGCGGCGGAAAUCACAAGACUAAUGUCAACCCCCCUCAUGCCAGAGAACCAAGCAGAGAUAAACGCAGAGUUAGCAAAGCUGAGGGAGGCGGUGGCAAAGGCCCAUCAGGAUGCUGCGACGGAGUCCGCCAGGAUGGAAACUCGACAAGCCCAGAUUACGGCUGAAAGGACGCGAUUGAACACCGACAACUGGCGGCUCGAAAGACAGCAGCGCGCAUCCGACGCCGUCCAUCAGCGGAGACACCAGGGACGCCUGCCCCGUGAUCUCAAUCCGACUCGCCUGUUCGACACUCCCCAAACACCCGGGAUGGAAGCCGCCCCAGCGGGAGGGCUGGGCCGCCCUCCUAACCCGCCGAUUCCGCCGACUGAGGGUCAAAUUCCUCGUUUCCGUACCCCUCGAGGCCACUUCUCUAACCCGGUGGAUAACGUGCUUGCCGCAACUCGCCAUCUAGAGUCUCUUCCGAUCCACGGCAACACCCCAGCUGAGAUCGAAGCAAGGAACGCCAUCGAGAUGUUGAAAACGGCGGUGGUCCAAAACGCGCAGUUCUCACACAGCCCCGAGCGACUACACUCCACCCCCCAGGCGAGCUACACCAGGGGUUGGCCGGAGGAUCAGCCAGCCGUAAACAGUGCCCCGUGACACUUCCCGCAGGACAACCCGCCCGAGCGGAACCCGCCGGGCAGUGGUCCACCCAACAUUCAAGAGGCUCAGACUCCCCCCGCGGGGACUGGAGGACGAUUUGGGGUGCCCUGCUUGUCCCUGGCCCUUCGAAACGAAAGAAUGCCCAAGGAUUUCAAAGGGCCAAGAAAGGUGCCUAAUUACACACCAGAUCUCGAACCAACAUCUUGGAUAGAGGGCUAUGAGAUCGCCAUGGACAUGCUCGACGUAAACGAGGCGGUUUGCGCCAGGUAUUUCACCAUGAUGCUCGAGGGAUCGGCGCGCACUUGGUUAAAAAACUUACCCCCCCAAUUCUAUCCAGUCCUGGGCCGAGUUGAAGGAGCGUUUCAUCAAAAACUUCCGGGGAACCUGUAAACGGCCGAUGACAAUGGUUGACUUGCAACACUGCGUGCAACGCCCGAAUGAGUCGACGCACCAUUGGUCGCGGCGAGUCGCGGAAAUUAUCCAUUCGUCGGAUGGCAUCACGGCAGCGCAAGCUGUGCUUAUCCUCGAGCAUAACUGCCACUAUGAGCCACUGGUCCAGAAACUGGGGCGACUCAAACGGAAAGUUCAGGAUAUGGGCGAGCUAAUGGAUACCCUCACUAGGUACGCCGAGGCCGAUGAUACCAAGGAUCCCGGUGAGGAUGUUAAGGGUAACUCGCCCAAGAAGGGCGAUUCAACCAAAAGCCACACCCGCCUCCAAGGCCGCAACCGUCACAACCAGGGGACCAACGGCAAGCGUAGGCCGCAUGAGGAGCCCUCAGAUCUGGUUGCCAACACCAACGCCAAUGACGGCAAAAAGAAGAAUCGAGGCUUCAGUGGGAAAAGACCGCGUAACUACGAAGAGCUACUCAAAGGCCCUUGCCCGCACCACGCCACGGCCGACGGCCCGGCGGGCCACUCUUGGGAGAACUGUUUCGUGAUGCGAGAAUUUCGGGCCGAGGCAAUCAAGAAGAGCCAAAGCGAAGAUCCGAACCGCCGCCAGGACCAACUCGCCGCGCCCAACCAAAGACACAACCCCUUCGGCGGUUUUCCCGAACAAGAGGCACAGGGGGGCCCGCAGCCAGGCGGCGGCCAGUACCCGGUGCACCACCAAAGGCGGUAUAACCCGCCGGGAGUUUUUCAGCAGCCGCCCCCACAGGGGGCUCCGCAGGACCAGGAUGACCAUGGGGGCUUCCGCAACAAUCCUAAACAGCUAAGCAAUGGGCAGUAUCAUGUUUUCACCACUAAUGCUUGCAGGCGCGAUAAAAAGGUACAUCACCGGGCGUACAGCGUAAUUGAGCCGGCAGUCCCCAGAUAUCUCCACUGGUCCGAACAGACCAUAACAUGGAGCAGAGAGGAUCACCCGCCGAGAAUAGAUAACCCGGGCGACCUGGCAUUGGUCGUGUCUCCCCAAGUGGGGGGCUACACUCUAUCGAAGGUACUAAUGGAUGGUGGCAGCAGCAUUAAUAUCCUAUACUUCGACACCUUCCGGAGGAUGAAUCUAUUAGAGAAAGACUUGAUGCCGUCGACCACGGUCUUCCACGGCAUCGUCCGGGGCAAAUCGGCUUAUCCCAUAGGCCGGGUCAGGCUCUCAGUAGCGUUUGGAACCACGCAGAAUUACAGGUCGGAGUAUCUGGUCUUCGAGGUGGUCAAACUAAAAAGCCCUUACCAUGCGCUGUUCGGGCGACCGGCUUACGCUCGCUUCAUGGCCCGCCCGUGCUACGUCUACCUCAAGCUCAAAAUGCCUGGUCCUAAAGGACCCAUCACGAUUGACGGAGAUAGAAGAAUUGCAAAGGAGUGUGAGGAAGGAGACGCGGCCUAUGCGGAAGUCGCCUGCGCGGCGGAAGAGCUCAAAGACCAUCGGGCCAAUGUUGACCCGGCAGACAUGUCACCGCUCAAGAAGCCGACUACAGAUUCUGAGUCGCCCCUCAAAUUCAAACCAACGGAUGACACAAAGACAGUCGACUUCAUCCCUGGCGAUUCAUCCAAGCAGUUUACCAUUGGAACGGGUCUGGACUCCAAAUAGGAAAGCGCGCUCAUCGAAUUCAUCCGUGAGAAUCGGGACAUCUUCGCAUGGAAGCCCUCUGACAUGCCGGGUGUGCCGAGAGAAUUCGCUGAGCACCAUCUUAAUAUUGACCCAAAAUGCAAACCCGUCCAACAAUACCUUCGCAGGUUUAACGAGGAGCGACGGAAGGCGAUUGGAGAAGAAGUCGCCCGUCUUUUAGCCGCCGGGUUCAUCGUGGAAGUCUUUCACCCCAAAUGGCUAGCUAACCCGGUGUUAGUACUCAAGAAGAAUGGCACUUUCCGUAUGUGCAUUGACUAUACGGACCUCAACAGAGCUUGUCCCGAGGAUCCUUUCGCUCUUCCCCGCAUCGACCAAAUCAUUGACUCGGUGGCGGGAUGCGAACGAUUGUGCUUUUUGGACGCCUAUUCAGGUUAUCAUCAGAUCAAAAUGGCUGUGGAAGAUCAGGAGAAGACCGCCUUCAUAACCCCCUUCGGGGCCUUUUGCUAUGUGUCCAUGCCGUUCGGGCUCAAGAGCGCAGGGGCGACUUACCAACGCUGCAUCCAGAAUUGUCUUCACAGCCAAAUUGGCCGCAACGUCCAUGCCUAUGUUGACGACAUUGUGAUCAAGACCCGCCGGGAGGAGACACUUUUGGAAGACCUUAAGGAAACCUUUGAUAAUUUACGGGUAUAUCAGAUGAAGCUAAAUCCUACCAAGUGCGUUUUCGGCGUACCUGCGGGAAAACUACUGGGUUUCUUGGUAUCGGAGCGCGGCAUCGAGGCCAACCCGGACAAAAUUGAAGCGGUUACUUCCCUCGGCAAGCCGACGAAUGUUAACCAAGUUCAGCGAUUGGCGGGUCGUAUUGCGGCUCUCAGUCGUUUCGUGAGCCGCCUCGGAGAAAAGGCGAUUCCUCUUUAUCAACUGUUGAGAAAGUCCGACCGAUUCGUGUGGACAGAGGAGGCUUACGAGGCAUUUCAGGCCUUGAAACAUCAAUUGGUUAACCCGCCGGUCCUGGCGGCCCCGACUGAAAAGGAGCCUAUGCUCCUGUAUAUCGCCGCGAAUUCCAAAGCGGUCAGCGUGGCUGUGGUCGUCGAAAGAAAAGAGGAAGGAAAGGAAUACCCGGUACAACGCCCGGUGUACUUUAUCAGUGAGGUGUUAACUCUUUCCAAACAGCGAUACCCACAUUGGCAGAAACUGGUCUAUGGGGUGUUCAUGGCGAGUCGAAAGCUUAAACAUUAUUUCCAGGAACACCCGAUCACCGUGGUCAGUUCCGCGCCCCUCGGCGACGUCAUCCAAAACCGCGAGGCAACAGGGCGAAUCGCCAAAUGGGCAAUAGAACUUGGGUCACAUCACAUACAAUAUACUCCCCGCACGGCCAUCAAGUCCCAGGCAUUAGUUGAUUUCGUCAAUGAUUGGACGGAGCUUCAGGUUCCGGAAGAUCGGCCUGACCUUACCUAUUGGACUAUUUAUUUUGAUGGAUCCAGGCAGUUGGAGGGCUCGGGGGCGGGUGUGGUGUUGAUAUCCCCUCAAGGAGAUAAGUUCUGCUACGUCCUCCGGCUCAUGUUCCCUUGUACAAAUAAUGCAGCAGAGUAUGAAGCUCUGCUUCACGGUUUGCGACUAGCAAAAGAGAUGAACCUAACCCGAGUCAGAUGCUUUGGGGAUUCAGAUUUGGUGGCGCAACAGGUUUCGGGCACCUGGGACUCUCGAGAUCCUAUGAUGGCGGCUUACAGGCGAGAUGUAUCUGACGUGGCAGGCUAUUUUCAUGGGUACCAGGUUGAUCAUGUUGAUCGGCGACUCAACGAAGCAGCCGAUGCCCUCUCGCGACUCGGCUCACAGAGAAAACCGGUCCCCCCUAAUGUUUUCUUGGAUGUCCUGCAUAAACCGUCCGUAACUGUACCCACAAAGGAGGAAUUGGCGAUACCAGAUCCCGAGUCUCAGCUUGUGGCGGCUCUCCAUGUCGUUCCGGAUUGGGCUCUUCCUUAUCUAGCUUAUCUUGCUCGCGGCGAGUUACCCACUGACGAAGUUUUGGCUCGCCAGAUUGUUCGGCGUAGCAAGUCCAUGGUCAUCAUUAAUGGCGAGCUAUAUAAACGAAGUGCUUCAGGGGUCUUUCAGCGGUGCGUUUCCUCCGAGGAAGGAUGCAUAAUCCUAAAUGACAUCCAUUCUGGAGACUACGGACAUCACGCCGGGUCACGUUCUUUGGUAUCAAAAGCCUUUCGACACGGUUUCUUCUGGUUGACGGCUCACGCAGAUGCAGAAGAUAUAGUACGGCGGUGUGAGGGGUGCCAACGAUAUGGGAGACAGGCUCAUGUGCCGGCUCAAGAAUUAAGGAUGAUCCCCAUCACUUGGCCUUUCGCGGUCUGGGGGCUGGACAUGGUCGGUCCCUUUAAGAUGUCCUCCAACAAGAAAACUCACUUAUUGGUGGCGGUUGAUAAAUUCACUAAAUGGAUUGAGGCGGAACCUGUUGGGGCUUGCGAUGCGGAGACUGCGGUAAAAUUUCUGAAGAAGCUGAUUUUCCGUUUUGGACAUCCACACAGUAUCAUCACGGACAAUGGUACUAACUUGUCCCAAGGAGCGAUGCUGGAUUUCUGUCGCCGUGAACAUAUCCGGCUUGAUAUCUCUGCAGUUGCUCACCCGCAGUCAAACGGGCAGGCCGAGCGGGCGAAUCAGGAAGUCUUGCGAGGGAUCAAACCUCGGCUCAUAGCUCCCCUGGAAAGAACUCCAGGAUGUUGGGUGGAGGAGUUACCUUCGGUAUUAUGGAGCAUCCGGACCACCCCGAAUCGGUCCACGGGGUUCACCCCUUUCUUUUUGGUCUAUGGAGCAGAAGCCGUCCUCCCUACCGACAUAAGGCAUGAUUCUCUUAGAGUCGCCGCAUAUGUGGAGCAAGACAACGAGCUGGCGCGUCAGGACUCUUUGGAUGCCUUGGAAGAGGCACGUGACUUAGCAGCGGCUCGUUCGGCGAUCUAUCAGCAAGAUCUGCGGCGUUAUCAUAGUCGCUGGGUGAAGAGUCGGACUUUCCAGGAAGGCGAUUUGGUGCUUCGACUGAUACAAGAUCGGGCAGGCAUGCACAAGCUUUCGCCCCCUUGGGAGGGACCUUUCGUUGUCAGCAAGAACCUCCGCAAUGGUUCUUACUAUUUGAUGGAUCUUCGGCCUGAUCGACCGACUACGGGGGCUGAGUCAACUCGCCCUUGGAAUAUUGCCCAUUUGCGGCCUUACUACACUUGAGUUCUUAAAACUCCAUGCUUUGUAAGUUUUUCAGUUUCAUUAUGGAAUAAUAUAAUGUUUCCCUGACUUGGGGGCUUCUUCUGUAAAGAAAAAGAGAGAGCAAUUUCAUGACAUCCUGUUGCGACCUUAUGAGCCGACAGAACAUGCAUUAAGGGUGGGUGCACGAGCUCUCUAACUCGCCUCCCCCUGUCGCGACCGUAUGAGCCGACGAAACCUGCAUUAAGGGUGGGUGCACGAGCUUUCUGACUCGCCUCCUCCUGUCGCGACCGAAUGAGCCGACGAAACCUGCAUUAAGGGUGGGUGCACGAGCUUUCUGACUCGCCUCCCCCUGUCGCGACCGUAUGAGCCGACGAAACCUGCAUUAAGGGUGGGUGCACAAGCUUUCUGACUCGCCUCCCCCUGUCGCGACCGUAUGAGCCGACGAAACCUGCAUUAAGGGUGGGUGCACGAGCUUUCUGACUCGCCUCCUCCUGUCGCGACCGAAUAAGACGACGAAACCUGCAUUAAGGGUGGGUGCACGAGAUUUCUGACUCGCCUCCCCCUGUCGCGACCGUAUGAGCCGACGAAACCUGCAUUAAGGGUGGGUGCACGAGCUUUCUGACUCGCCUCCUCCUGUCGCGACCGUAUGAGCCGACGAAACCUGCAUUAAGGGUGGGUGCACGAGCUUUCUGACUCGCCUCCUCCUGUCGCGACCGUAUGAGCCGACGAAACCUGCAUUAAGGGUGGGUGCACGAGCUUUCUGACUCGCCUCCUCCUAUCGCGACCGUAUGAGCCGACAAAAUUACUCGUGUUAUGAUUUGACCUUGGAGAUUUUUAUCCUCACUGCUUAUUCGUUGAAACUAUUUGUAGUUCUUUUAUUUUCACAGAUAAUGCGUUCAAGGUUUUCAUCCUUGGCGGAUUGAGCAUUACAGGCGAUUCUGAUAAGGAUUAACAACAUAUUUUAAACCGCCUCAAAAGCGGUAUAAGGGUUUUUUGCAGAAGAUGUCAUCAAAAGAUAGUACUGACUAUUACAUGGCUCUUGGGCCAAAUUCAAGGAAAAUCUAUUCCGCUAAGUCCUGGCGUGAGCUCUGACCAGCUUCGAUUUGUAAAUCGCCCAAGACCCAAUUGCAUCUGGACAAAGAGGCAAAAUCGUCUUCAUCGGUCAAGAUUGAUGCCAGGUCUGUCUCCCAGUCAAAGGGAUUCUUGGGUCGCCGAGGGAUAAGGUUGGUCACCAUGAAGGUUGGCGGGCUGAUUUUCUUAUUCUUAUCAUCGUAAGCCGCCUGAUACUUUGUCAAGUCAAGGCUGGCGGCGAGUUGAGUGGCGGCCAGCCGAGAAUCUUUGACAACCUUCUGGUAGUCUUCUUCCACGAAUUCCGAGCCGUCAUCUUUAAGCUGAGGGAAGCCGGCAGCUACUUCUUCCAAAUUAAUUUCCGGAGCAUACGCCAAGCAGCGACUCAGAGCCGUCAGGACACCCUUCCGGGCGGCUGAUCGGGUUAACUCGCCGAUUUGGGGAGGAAGUGUGGAUAGAUAUCCAAGCACCUUCUUGAUGGAAGUUAUGGGUUCUUUUGCACCUAUCACGGCGUUGACAGUCAGCACACUGCCUGUGUACAGUUGUUCCGUCAGUGUAUAGAUCGCCUUCAGCAUCAACACGCAGUCGUCUUGCAGAUUGGCGACUCUCGAGCCUGGGAUUGAAUAACCGGUAAGUUACAUUAAGGAAUUUGCCCAAGGAAGAGGAUAAGAUUGGAGAGUUAGGUAAAGCUUACCAAAGAUGGCUUGUGUCAUGUUGGAGAUAUGGCGCUUUAAGCCGGAUAGUUCCUGCUGCACAGUUGCCAGCUUGGCUUCUGCUUUUUCGACUCUCGUCAAAACCGCGUUGUAGUCAGCCUGAGUUCUUUCUAACUCGGCUUUGAGUUUUUCCAGUUCAACCAGAGCCAGCUUAUAUUUGUCUUCCGACUGAGCUCGGGCAUCUUGUUGGUCAGCCAAGUUUUUCCUUAAGUCGCCCAGGGCCAGUUCGGUCUGGGCAAGGCUUUCCUGUUCAAAAUUUAAAAACAAAGACAAGUCUCAGAAUUAUUGCAAGGCAAUACCCCUGACACUUGGGGGCUAAUGUAUAAUUUCUCAAGGGAAAUUAUACAGAAAUCAAGACCCGGCUCAUCAUUUUACUCAUGACCCGGCCCUUGGGGGUUACUGGUCGCGAAGCUUUUAAAAGAUCCGGCUCAUCAUUUUACUGAUGACCCGGCCCUUGGGGGUUACUGGGGAUAAUAUAGAGUAUAAAUUUUACCUCAUGCUUGUUAUUUAACAUCUUUAGCAGAUUCUUUUCCAUCUCAUAACUCGCUUCCAGGCGACUUGCGAAGCCAGAACAGAGUUCUUUAAACUCCAGACCUGCAUAGUCAGAAAGUUUCGCCUUGGAAGGCCCAGACUCGGGAAUUGAUGGAGAAGGGGAUGCUAUAUGUUUGGAGAGGAUUGUCUAUGCCGGCUUGGAGAAACCAAAACCAGUAAUGACCACAGCAUCUGGGUCAUCAGCUGUCGCCAUUACGACCGGUGAUCUAGGGACAUCCGUUGAUCCUUUGGGCGACUUAGGAGGGUAUGCUUGAAUUGUCGGCUCGUUUUGACUCGGAUCUUCUUGAGUCGGAGUAGCUUUCCUUGGAGGUUCAGGAGUGGCGUCAGGGUUUGAUCCACUGGUCUUCCUCUUUUUGGCUUGCGCCCUAAUGAAAGAGAUAGGCGUGUUAAAAAAUUAAAAAGAGUGUUAUUCUCAAGGAUCAGGACAAGGAACUUACCCCGGGACUCGGAUCAUUGGUGGAAGGGUCGACAUCACUGAGUCGCCAGAAGUGGGGGAAGAAUCCUGCAGAAUUUGUACAUCGAUAAUACUGGCAGAUUAGGACUGUGAUCCAAAGCACCACGAACAAUGGUUGCUCAAAUAAAAAAAGGAGGUACCUCGCUUGGUUUUCUUUUGUUCGUUGUUGGCAAGCCAGGCGUCAGGUCGCCAGAAUGACUUCGCGUUUUCCGUUUCGAUGCGUGCUGCGUUUUCUUCAGUAAGAAAUUUGGGUCCAAAUGGGCAUUUGGAUGUGAGAGAGGUACUUUCCCACAUAUUCGCCGGGCCGGCUUAGGUGGAGAAGGAGAUGAAUCAGAAGAGACGGAAAUUACCUCGACAGAGUCUUCCUGGCUUUCGUUAUCUUCAUUCUAUUAUAAGAGGAGCGAGAGAUAAAUAAAAGUUAAAAGGUGAUAAGUGGCGAGUGAAAAUGAGGACGGAUUGGUACCUCUGAGAGUGCGUCGCGAGCUUGAGAUUCGUCGACUUCGGAUGGCUCGGCCGCAGCCGAUUUACCUUUGCCCUUGUUUUUCUUGGAAGGCGGCUUAGCACUCUUCAUGGCUUGUUUCUUAGGUCUCCUAGACCAGAACUUGUCGCCUUUCUGGAAAGGGAUAUGGCAUGAAGUCAUGAUGACAGUAAAACAGAUGAAAUAAAAGUUGAGGGCGAGUUAGCUUUGGUUACCUUGGGUGCCGGGUUAAUCUUGCAGAAGGGCUUAAGGCCGAUUUGGCCGCAUUUCGCUGCAGGUUCGUCGGUCAGCUUCCUGAUGAUGGUGACGAUGUCUUUUUCCGUUAAUGCUGUGUGGAAGUAGCAUUGGGGAUGAUCCAGAGUACCGUCAAAUUCGCACAUCAGGCCAUCUCGGCGGCUCAGAGGAAGGAUCCGCCAUUCGACCCAACAGCGGAUCAGGUCAACCCCGGUGAGACCGUUGUUCGUCAAGGAUCUCAGUUCGGACAGAAUUGGGACAAAGUCCGACUCUUCUUCCUCGGUGAGUUUGUCAGGGAGCUUGAAGUUGACCGGAAGGCGGCUUGGCCUGUAGCCCUGAAGUUUGUUCUCGCCGGCAGGGGAUGUUUCUUUGCAGUAAAACCAAGACUCGCCCCAGCCUUUGGGAUGGCUAGGCAUAGUGAGUGAAGGGAACGGACUGUCCCUGCGACGCUGGACGUUGACCCCGCCGAGUUCCAAACUGGGGCCGUUGUGGAAUUCCGUCUGGCGAUUCAAGUGGAAAAAGUACCAAAACAGAGGGACGGAAGGCUCAAUCCGCAAAUAAGCUUCGCAAAGGACUUGGAAUUGACUUAGGUUGCUUAUGGAAUUGGGUCCCAAAUCCUGGAGUCGGACAUUCAUGAAGUUCAGAGCGUCCCUAAGGAAUUUAGAUCCGGGCGGCUUGAAACCCCGUUCCAAGUGUUCCACAAAAACUACUAUCUCCCCUUCCUUGGGGUUGGGGGGGUCUUCUCCUAACCCGGUGCGCCAUCCAAUGACGUCUUGAGGAUCCAAACAGCCCGCUUUCACGUAAUUCGCCAAAACAGCAUCAUCGACUUUGGUAGGGAGCCAGUCGCUCUUGAAAACGGCACCCAUGCUACAAAUAGGUAAGAAUAUGGUAUUACAUGUCUCGAACAUUUACUAUGUGAAUCGGGAUCAGCUCUUGCUUAAACCGCCGGACUAGGAGGCCGGGUUAGGCCGAUGUGGCGAUUUGUCGGAGCAGAGAUAUUCUCAGAAGUGAUGUUACUGUGGGUGGUGGACUUUAUUUUUUCCGGAAUACUAGGGGAAGGACGAAGUUUCCAAACAGCUUUUUACAAACAGUGAAUGAGGAAUGGAUCUGUUGAACAGAUGUAAAAACUUGCGGACAUGGCUAAAACAUGAACGAUGUACGAUCAGGGUGGUGCUUCAUGUUUGAAGAGACUAGUGUAUUUAGAAAAUUCGCAAGAACACAGAUGGAUAAGACUAUUCAAGACGCUGGGUGCCCUAAUGGCGCUCGGGUUAAAUCAGUUCAAGGAUAAUGGAUGGUUGCGAGUGGAGGUCUUCGGAGCUAUGGUAAUGGCGGAAGCAUGACAAUGGCGGGAGCAUGAACAAGAGAUAAAUCUACCUCUAAAGAGGGGGAAACAGCGGCCUAACCUGAAGAUCUUGGCCGAAGAAGAUCGGCGGUGGCGGAGGCUGUUGGAGAAGCACAGGGGUCCCGGAGAAUGGAGAGGCCCUCGGCGACGGCGGAGCCUGGCAAUGGCGAUGGCUUGCGGGCGGCACAGGAGCUCUUCGAACGGCGACGGCUUGCGGGCGGCGCCGGGGCUUCUCCAGCGGCGACGGCUUGCAGGCGGCGCCGGAGUUCUUCGAACGGCGACGGCUUGCGGGCAACACUGGAGUUCGCGGCCGGCGGCGAAGCUUUCGGGAUGCGGAGCGUCACUUCUCGCUGUGAUGAUGGUGGAGGGACUGACGAGACUGGUAGGUGGCCGGUGUCAGCCCUGUCCUUUCCACCUAUUUAUCAGGACGGGCGCGGGGAUCGAGGCGCCGUGAGCGGGAACCGUCGAGGAAGAAAAGAUUCGCUAUGAUGACGUCCGAAAAUUUUGGGAUAAUGAUGCACUAAAAGAUCCGUUGGGAUUAUGGUGAAGAUCCCGAAAAUCGAGGGCUAAGGAAAGUGCUGACGGGAAAUGCAUUGGCGGCUCAAAGAUUUUUUCCGGUACGGGUUGGCGAGUUAAAAUUUCUGGCGUAUGGAGGAAUACAAAGGAGUGAAUCACCUUCAACUAAAACGGAAGCAUUGGCAUGAAGAUUCAAGUCAAUUUUGGGGCCUAAUGUUGGGGAUAUUGCCUAUUAAGUGACCCGCCAAAUGUGGGCCGGGUUACUUGUAAGGCGAUUCAUCCUUUAGGGUUAGUUGGGCCUCAGCCUGGGAGGUUCAAAGUCGCAGGAUGGCUAUGAUUUAUGGAAGGUCUCCGGGUUUUACAAGACGGCGACUUAGAAACCGUGGUGGUCACGAUUCGUAAAGAGGAAGGGACUUUUGUAAACCCUGAGGCUUCGACCUAUAUAUAAAGGCGAGUCUGGAGGAGGAGAGGCAGGUUAGAAAUCAUCGAGUGCUAGGUAAGGCGAGUUACGCCUUUCUUGUAAUCGAAUCCACAUCAAUACACGCCAAGCAGGACGUAGGCUAUUACCUCCACGCGAGGGGCCGAACCUGGGUAAAUCGCCGUGUCUCUCUCGCUUAACCCCUUUGAGUCGCCAUCAAGGUGCGAUGGCUCCAGUACUAAGUCCUUUCACGAGGACAUCUGCCGUGACAAAACCACGACACCAGGGACGAAAACAUCCCCGAUGCGGAUGUCGUCGUUAAUGAUGAGGCGAGCCAUUGAUCCUUCCAUAUUUCCAUAGCAGGUUCUCAAUGAAAGCACCAAUGUCGGUGUUAAAAUCGGAUGAUCUCAAGUAGGGGGUCUGAACUAUGGAUCUUGGACCGACGGGUAACAAGGGAUGAAGGAGACGAUGUUUUACCCAGGUUCGGGCCCUCUUGAUGGAGUUAAAACCCUACGUCCUCCUCUUGUUGUAAUGAUGAAGUAGUACAGAGUAUAGAGUUGAUCUAUCUCGAGAUCGGAUGAUGUGGUGUAAAACCCUAAUCGUAGUGAACGUAAGUCCCCUAUGUACUACAACCCCCCGGUUUAUAUAGAUACCAGGAGCGCUAGGGUUUACACAACGACGGUUACAUCAAGGAAAGAAAUAUGCGGAUUAGCAUUUUGUCUUGGCCUGCACGCCAAGUCUUCGAAAGAGUCCACCUUGAUCUCCAUAUCUUCAAAGAUGGUCGAACGACCCAGGAACCCGACCCAUAAGAACAGAUAAGUGUCCUGAAGACCCCCUUAAUCCCGGACUCCCUCAGUCACCUCGGCUAGACCGGGAGCUUCGCCAUCUCUUCAUCAACCUGCUCCAGGGACUUCGACGUCACCAGUCGACCAACUUCAUCACCUCGGUUGGACCAGGGGAUUACCCCGGCGUGUGCAUCAGAUGAUGCACAUGUCCAUAUUAUAUUAAACAUAAAUCAAGUUUCAGUCACCGGGUUUCAGACUUAUCUCAUCAAGUAGUUUGCUUCUACUUGAACUCAAUUUCUUCAAUUUCUCUGAGCCAUGAGCUCAUAUAUAUUUUGAAUUGUGAAUUCAUUUUAAUUUUAUCUAUGAACUCAUUAGGUGACCUCAUCACUUUUUUGGGGGAGAUGUGAACUUAUUUCAUAUCCAUAUAUGAAUCAUGGUUGAAGUGUCCGUACACCCCCCCCCCCCUUGCCAAUGUACUUAAAUUUGAGGUCUACAUACAUUUGCCGGUUUUACCUACAAUUCCAUUGUUGGUUUUGAAUAAGUUAAAACAACUGCAAAAAAAAAACAGAUUGCAGCUUAUGUACUGAAAUUUGCGGCAUUAUUCAUUUGUCGAAUUGUAGCUCAGUUGAUCCUGGUUGUGAAACUAAACGUGGCAUGCUAUUUUUGAUGUAAUUUCCAAAUUGCAGUCCAUAAUCAAGCUCAAUAUUACAACAAAUGUGACUUACAUGUUGCUUGCAUUCAACACCUUCAGGACCUACAUAGGCAUCCAUAUAAUCCUCCUUCGGCCUCUGCUGCCAUCACACCACUUGCUCAGGACCAGCACAAGGCAUCCGUCUUCUCUUCAGCACCACCCUUGCCACUAGAUCACUUCUCCAGCAGGGGAGGGCUAGCUAACAUCAUGGACAUUUUGGUCCUUUCAGGUGCUAGAAAAUGGAAAUGAAAAAGAAAAGCAAUAAAAAAAUUUGAAAAAUGGCAUGGUAAUAAAAGUGCACAUGAACCGGAUGGCAUUUUUACGAAGUCAAUCUUCUCGAAAUAGGCUUUCGCCCCGCUAUAUGAAUAUAGCAACCGAAGUCAAUCUUCACAGCGGUAAUUCUACGAAGCCACAUACUGAAAGUGGCAAAUAACUAUAAUUCUAAUUUUCUUUUAUUGCCGGGUUGAUCCACGAUUAAGCUGGGCACAAGGCAGUCAACUACUUGAGGCUUACUAGGACCAAUCCAUUUAUAUAUGAAGGUCAGUCAACUCUUUGAUUUACUUACAGAUUGUUUAGCUGAUUCCGCAUUUUUUGCUCCGCCUAGCCUCGAUUUGUUUACGCAUAAGAAGUUACUCACAUGCUAAUUAUUUCUUCCUCCCAUCUUAAUUUAUAUUAAUUAAAACUUAUUAUCUCAGUCAACAAUGUAUCUGUCGUAUAGAUCUAUUCACUUCUGUCUUUUGGUUCUAUUUAUCUUUCGCUCCUUUUCUGCCCUGAAUGUAUUGCAGUGGUCGAGCAAAAACAGAGACAAACCUAACCCAAGGAUCAACAUCUUAUAGAUCUAAAAAGAAAACACGAGCUUCCCUAUUCCGUGUCCAGUAGCCACUAUCACUACCUACUACUCCCUCUGUUUUUAAAUAUAAGUCUUUUAAGAUAUUUCACUGUGAGUCUACAUACGAAGCAAAAUGAGUGAAUCUACACUCUAAAAUAUGUCUAUAUACAUCCGUAUGUAGUCCACUAAUGAAAUUUCUUUAAAGACUUAUAUUUAGGAAUGGAGGGAGUAGUAUAAAUCAUUUAUGCAUGUACCAACUACAUGAACCUUCUCUUAUUUAUAUUUAGGAAUGGAGGGAGUAUGAUCUACUUUGCAACUAAUGAUGUCUUGGGGUAAGUUUUUAAACAUAACAACAAUAAAAUUAAUACUUUCUUCGUUUUAAAAUAAAUGUCUUAAAUUUAGUACAAAGGUAAGAGAGUUAAUUUGAGACGGAGCGAAUAUCUUAUCUAUCCUCUACUCAAAAAAAAAAAGAAUAUCUUAUCUAUCCAUGUGCGCCGCGCACUACUCACAACUCGCAUAUGCAUUUCGAAGACGCAGUUGAGGACGACGGAGCAGCCCGGCGAAUUCUUCGACAACGUCGUCGCGGAAAUCCUCUUCCGCCUCCCCGCCCACGCCAUCCUCCGUGCCGUGCAGUUUGCCGGCGCUGGCGCCGCCUCGCCGAAGAUCCGUCUUUCAUCGCCGCCCGCGCCCGCGCCCGCCACCUCCCGCUAGAGGUUCUUGCCUACACCACCACCACCGUCCAAGAAUCGGGCAGCUCCCUCGACGUACGUCUCCCUGGCUGGACCCUGUCUUGGGCAGCCGUCGCCUCGCCCGGUACCUGAAGUUGCUGCCCGACACCAAAAUUACUGCCUCCUGCUCGCCUCCUUCUCCUGUUCAGGCAGUAUGUGGCAGCUGACUGCGGUUUGUACGGAAAAUUCAGGUAUGGAUUCCUUGUUGCCGGCAUUGAUCCGUAGAGGUUUGCAAUUUUGGAUUUAAUGCUAGAUCCAAGAGAAUGUUUAUAUUGGAACUGCAUUGGAGAAGGGAAUGGGUUUGAUGGAUGAUUCUGGGUUCUCCAGGUUUAACUUCUCUAGUGGUCUACCUCGACUCACAUAUUUUGCAGGGAUUCAGGGGUGUCGAAUUUUCUGGGGUGUGGCUAACAUUUUAAGCUCCAGAGUGCUUAUUGACACGGACUGCAGUUCAUCAUGGUCAAAAAACAUAGUUUCGGUAUAAUUUCGUGACUGCUUUUACUUGGUUGUGCCAAAUACACACACUUUUCUGACAAAGUUUGAGAAAUCAUACACUGUACAUUUGGUAGCGUUCUAGAUAUUCAUGAGUAAAUACUAUCUAGUUAUGUCAUAUCUUAGAUUGCAGCCUUCACAUCUACACAUAGUUUUGAUGAAUAUAUCCUUUUCUUCUUCUUCAUAAAUGUAACAUGUAAUAGAGAAACAGGGAAAACCCUUUCUAUAAUUUCUAGUUGUCAGAUGUUGCAUUUCUAGUACUCCAAUAUUACUUGCUGAUUCCUUGAAAAUUCUAUGGUGGAGUUCCAUGAAAUGGCUAGCCCUCUGGGCAAUUAUUUUGCGCAUUAAAGGCAAUAUGUUACAGUGAAACUGACUGAACUGUGCUGCUUGACUCCUUGUAUGCAGCUCUAGCAAUGAUCUGAGACAAGCCUUUUGCUCUGGAACAUAAAGGUGGACAAUAAACACUAUUUUCGUCAAAAUUCUUGCACAUUCAUAUUGUUGCAGACUUUAAUUAUCUUAUAUAGUCUAGGCUAUGUUUAGGUACAAACUGUCUGGUUAUUAUAUUUACUCGUUGCUAUACAAAAUGCAUCUCACUUUCCAUGUUUAUUAUUCGGGUAGUAGUGCCCCCCUGUUCCAAUAGAAGCAGAGUUAUGCUUCCCCCUAGAUCACCGUAUUUUAUUGUUUCUAACUAAUAAGCACUUUCUAUUUUGUUGUUUCUAAGUAAGAAACUGGUUUUCUUGACAUUUUUAUCUUCCCGUGAAAUGUACAUGACUGCCACUGCAACUCAAAACUCUCAAUAAGUUCUAAUGUGCUGUGGAGAAGUUUACCAGACAGAACCAAAGUCCAUUGUGGCGAAGAAAGUCAGAAAAGAUAUUUGGCAUGUGAAUCUGGUUAAAUAUAAUACGGUACCAAAACAAUACGGUUAGGACCUCUUACUUUCUCUUUUUGCAGCUCAUAAGUGCUUCCAUCUUAGAGUCUUUUUCCGUAGAAACAUGCGAAAUAAUUAUGGUUUAAUGAAGUAGAGAACUGAUGAAUACAUGUGCUUACAAUUCAUAUAAGAAAGCAUACUGUUGUCUGUCAUGCUCUUAUACUAAUCCUCAACUAAUUUUUAUUCUCGCAGCUAGCAUAUCUUGCGACCACUGCACUAAUGUUCAAUCGCCUAGAACUGCUUUGCCUAGUUAAUUCUGCAGCAUGGCAAAGCCUUUAUCUUGUUCAUCUCAGCAAUUACAUCUCCAAUGGAUAACCUUUCAGCUGGUUUUUUCCUGCUGCAUCCUAGGGCAAGUCUUGUGACAAAGUACAUGAUAGUAUUGAUAUCUCCUAGUGUACUCUCAACUGAUAGCAGAAGGGGGUCAAUAAUCUCCAUCAGUUGUGUUGGAUAUGCUAUCUUUGCAUACUCUAGUAAGGUAAAUCCACCGGUGAACAUUGCAUCUGUAGGCGCCUUUGCUGUAAACAUCUCAAGGAGCACAAUACCAAAACUAUAGACAUCCCCACAUGGAGAUAUCUGACCACCUUCACCAUAUUCUGCAGCGUACAAACCCACAUGAAUAAUAUGCCAAACAACGACAACACUUGCUGGGCCUAAAAACAGGAUAAGAAAUCAGUUACCUGGAGCAACAUAUCCAAUUGUUCCCACUAACGAACUCUUCGAAUUGAUUAAUUGCUCUCCUUCUGGAUCAGUGAGAAUCUUCGCAAGGCCAAAGUCCCCAAUAUGAGUAACCAGGCCCUCCCCAAGAAGAAUGUUACUGGGCUUCAAGUCACAGUGAACUAUUGCUGGUUGGCAGUUGUUGUGCAAAUAGUCUAAUGCCGCAGCAAUAUCAGUAGCAAUGCCCAGUCUCUGCAUUAGUGUUAGAACUCUGAUUGGAUUAGGUGCACAUGUGUCCUGAUGUAACCACUUACCAAGAUUCCCGUGAGGCAUGUAAUCAAAUACAAUAGCUUUGAAGUCAUUUUGGUUCAAGUCAGAGCAGCAAGUUCUGAUGCCAAUCAAAUUGCGGUGGCGGAUUUUGCUAAGAGCCUUACACUCAGCCACAAAACUUUUUGAAGAGCCAGAUUGCUCAGGGUCAAAAACCUUUACAGCGACAGUAAUCAUGGAUUCUUUCAGUAGCAUCCUACCCUUAUAAACACAUCCAUACUGUCCUGUGCCAACUAUAUUAUUGGCUGCGAAGCCAUCUGUUGCUUGGGCCAAGUCUGAGUAAGAAACUCGAGGAUACAUGUCAUCCAUGAACGGCGGAGCUAAUGGUGCUGUUCUGGCAGAUGGUAGGCUUAAUUUCCCUUUUAAUGAGAACACAACUAGUGCCAGGAUCAAGCACAGAAGUAAUAUGAUACUAGCACCAGAAAUAACUGCAUUUCGAACGACCCGAGUUAUUCUCUGAUUGUGCAUAACUUGUUUGAUUGGGCAUGAAGGCAAACCCAACUCGGAAAUACCACCACAAAGCUUAUCAUUCCCAUCAAAUAAGAAUCCGGUCGAAUUAGCAAACACACCACGUGCUGGGACUUGCCCAUCAAGAAGGUUGAAGGAUAAGUCAAGCUGGUAAAGUGACGUCAUGCUUUCCAAUGUCUCGGGAAUCUGUGCAGACAAAUUAUUGUGUGCAAGGUAGAGUUCUUUCAGGCCAUUCAUGAGUCCUAUCUCUUGAGGGAUUGCACCUGUGAGUGCAUUUUUUGUCAAAUUCAGCAGUGCCAAGCCUCGCAUUUUGCUUAUGGAGAUAGGAAUGAUACCAUUGAAGUAGUUACCAUCCAAACGGAGCUCCAUCAAACUCUCACAGUUGCUGAGAGCAUCUGGCAGCGUCCCAGAUAGGUUGUUCUCAUGGAUGUACAAGUAUGUGAGCUUUGUGAGGCCACCUACUUCGGAUGGAAGAUAACUACUGAAACGAUUCCCAGACAAAUCCAAAAUGUAUGACAAGGAUGACAGGCUAAAAAUCUCUCUAGGUAAGGGACCUGAAAGCGCAUUGUUUGAAAAGUUUGCAUAAACGAGCCGUUGGAGAUUCCCAAGGUUUGCUGGAAGAUAUCCUUGCAAGACAUUGUUAGCUACUGAAAGGUGCUCCAACUGUGUUAAGUUCCCAAGCGAAGAUGGCAUCAUCCCAGAAAUACGGUUAUUAUCUAGUGUCAACCACUGGAGCAUUUUCAACUUCCCUAUGUUGUCUGGUAUGACACCCGUAAAUCGAUUGCUGGAGAGUCCGAGCUUGAUUAGAUUAGGGAAGUUGCCAAUGCCAACUGGUAUCUUGCCAUAAAUCUCAUUGAAACUAAUAUCAAAAAAUUCGAGUUGCCUGGACAGGUUUGCGAUAGAACUUGGAAGCACGCCACUAAACCUGUUGUAUCGCAAUAUGACACCUUGGACACUAGUACAAUUUGUUAAUGAAGUGAUGAACCCCCAGUCCUGGGCAGUGCUUGACUUCAGCUGGUUUCCCUUGAGAAUCAGGAAGUACGGGCAGAGUGUUCCAAUCUCUGGAGGCACGAAUCCAGUGAGGUUGUUUUCAGAGAGGUCAAUUGACUGAAUCGUGGUUGCAUUUGCAAUUGAAGCUGGAACCUUUCCUGUGAAAUGAUUCAAUGCAAGGAUAAGGUAUUUGAUUUUUGGUAGUCCAUUGCCCAAAUCGGUGGGAAGUGUGCCACUUAGCUCAUUCUUCUGCAGACUAAUGUGGAUGAGCGAGGAAAUGUUGAAGACUGUUCUUGGAGUGAUGCCUGAGAGGUGGUUUACAUGCAGUGCUAGCAUCUCAAGUUUACUUAUCCUGCCAAGACUCCCAGGAAUUGAACCACUCAGCUGAUUGUCAUUGAUGUUCAAUAUCCGCAGCGAUGACAAGUUGCCAAGUGAUGGUGGGAUGAGCCCCGUGAACUUGUUCUUCCCGAGUGACAUUAUCUCAAUCUUUGACAAGUCUCCAAGCCAAUCAGGGAUUUCUUGAUGGAGGUUGUUCAGGUCAAGUUUGAUGCUUACAAGACAGGUGCAGUUCCUCAGGCCAUAUGUGAUCCCACCUUCAAUUGAAUUAUUUGAGAGGUAUAGGUUCGAUAACUUUCGUAGCUGGCCAAUUGUCCAAGGAAUUUCUCCCUGGAUUGAAUUGUUUCUUAGGUCAAGAUAUGACAAUUGGGACAACUGUCCAAUCGUCCUUGGGAUUUCACCAUGAAAUAGAUUGUAGCUGAGAUCUAGACUUCUCAGGUUAGAGAGGUUACCCAGGGAAGGGGCUAUGUAUCCACGAAGCCCCACCGAGGAGAGAUUAAGUUCUGAGACCCUUUGCCCAUGGUUGAGGCUGCAGAUGACACCAUGCCAUUGGCAGAAGUUAGUAGUUGUGUUCCAUGAAUCUAGUGCAUCUAAGUGAUGGCUUAGACCCGCCUUCAAUGCUAGCAGGGCAUCCAGAUCAGUUUCAUUGCUGGAUGCAAGUGCUGGGAAAUGUGAAGCUGAUGCCAGUACGAGCACAGAGGGCAAGAGAACAAAUCUUAGAACAGGUAACAUUUUGGCGCAGUUCCCUGACAAGCGACAAAGUUGAAGAAAUUAAGCCUUGAAUGCACGCAUGCUUCUUAUAUGUUUGACUUAUGAACCACAAUCGUGAGAUUUUUCCAUAAAAUAGCAACCUUGCAUUACAAGAUAGUACCGUAAAAGGCGUGAUUUGUAGUAAUAGUUAGUACAAUGGUUUUCAUAAUUCAGCUUGAAGUCUGGUAAACUAUUAUACUUAGAUUUAUGGAAAUCCCACAUCCCACUGAAUUUCAAAAUCUUCUCGUGGCUUUGUUUUAGAGGGAGAAUUCAAGAAAGGCCGUCCGGGACAAACAUGUUGCAAUUUGUGUCGAUCGAGUGAUCACCUUCUGUUUUCCUGUCUUUUGUGGGGGUACACUUUGGUGUUGCGUCAGGGAUGCACCAUAGUGUCUUUGCUCACCAUCAACUAGAGCUGUUUUUAUUAAGAUUUGCACGCGGGCAGGGGUGUCUACUUAUAAUCACGAGAUGUGGACUUGAUGGCCAGCAUUGCGUGGGCAAUCUGGACCGCGUGCAGUGCUUUCAUUUUUAACCGUCAUGUUACUUCUGGCCCUGAACAGGUACUCCCUCUGUGAAGAGAUAUUAGAGCGUUUAUCACUACUCCCUCCGUCCGGAAAUACUUGUCCUAGAAAUAUAGGACAAGUAUUUCCAGACGGAGAGAGUAUUUUAGUGAACUAUAUAAACCAACAUAUAUAUCUUUACGGAGGGAGCACUUCACAAGGCGAUCUUGUUCGUGUUAAGGUGGAAGAUGUUGCCAGCAAGAAAAAAAGGAGGCCGUGCUGUCCAUGAUCUCUAAGUUGCAAGUGAUGGUGCAUGAUUGAGAGAACACCGGACUGAGAAGUUAGAGUUGUUUUACGUUUCCUGGCUUCGGCUGGUGUUCAGGUUGAUUUUAAGCUGGAGAUGGAUGUUUUCGCUUUGGGCUGUAUAGUCAGCGUUGAUUUUAAGCUGGAGAUGGAUGUUGCAUGGCUUAGACCGUGGUGAGAACUGACCGGAUUCACCCUAUGCCAAUUCUCUCUAAAAAAAAAUUACCCUGCUUAUGCAUCAUUGAUAUAUAUUACCAUCUUUUUCUUCAAGAAACGAAGGUAAAAUAUUUGCCUCGUCGAUUAAAUAAGCAUAAGAAAAUUGCCACUAUCUUCUUACGUCAAACUAUCGUAGGAUAGCGUUCUCUUGUAGUUAUGCAUGUCUAGACUGCUUAACUCAAGUAGGGAGUUCCACUCGGUAAUGAUGAUAAUAAUAACAAAAAAUCACAAGAAAGCAAGAACAUAUGUAAGAAAAGGUGGAUUGCAUCAUUUCAGCCAAAAAUGGUAGUAGAGAAAGACGAACAUGAGAUGAAAGAGCCGUCCACCAAGGGGGAAAAGCUUGGCAAAUUUGGAGCACACCCACACAUGUUUGAAGCACGAGCUUGCUUGCGGAAUGCAGAAGUGUUUUGUGCUAGUAAUAGACUAGGUGUAUAGGCAUCGUAGUCUGCUAUUAGUUACGCCGGAUGUGGCUACUUCUUAAGAGUUAGUUUAGUUUUAGAUUCAUUUUAUUUUCAGCCUUCAGGCUUAUCUCGAACUAUUUUGUUACUUUGGAUUUUUAAUAAUAUGGCUGCAUGCAUCGAUAGAUGCAGAGGCCGGGGGCUCGUUUCCUCCUUCUCAAAAAAAAAAGUGUUUUGUGCUAGGAGUAGAUGGGAUGGGGAAAUACCUGAAGUUCUCCCCCACCAGAGUACGCCUUGAUCUCUAUUGUGUUCCUUGCUGCGCUGCUUCUGCCGCUGUUAUAUAUCACACCCUCCAUCCAGAUAUACAAGGCCAAGAAGGACCAGGGGUCAAGCUGACCCCGUUGAAGCUUUUCACACCGGAUUCAGUUUUUUUUUAACGAUCACCAGGAGGAGAGGAUUCUCACCUGAAUAUAUUGCUUAAAAAUUGUCAAAGCCAAGAGUCACCCCUUGAGUUUUGGCUGCCAAAGCCAAGAGUCACCCCUUGAGCUUUGACUGAUCCAGCUUAUAAGGGAAAUCGGAUCGAAAAUCUAAACAAGCUGACCCUGUUUAUAAGAAAAACCGGACCGGAAACCGUACAGGUAACAAAGUUAUAGAAGAUGAGGAAAAAGUAUCACCUAGGAGAAGGCAUGACCUAGCUAGCACGCAAAAAGACCAUCACCACGAGAGAUGCAAGUAGAUGUGGGAUGUUGUCGAAGGAUCACAAUAUCAAGACUUUGCAAACAACCUAACGCACCGCACCGACGUGUGUACCAAGCCCCAUGGUACAACGCAGGAUUAACCAUAACCAACGAGUGUCAAAAGAUGUCGUACGGAGGAUCACACUAUCAAGACUUUGCAAACAACCUAACGCACUGCACCGACGUGUGUAUCAAGCCCCACGGUACAACACAGGAUUAACCGAGUGUCAGUAGGUGUCGUACGGAAACGGAGUGGUACGAAGAGGAGCACACCCCGCUAACCCUGCUUCGGAAGAAAGAAUCGUAACCACACCAAGGGAUGGUCGAGCUCACGAGGAGGAAACAGAUGGCCGCCCUACUGCGCCAAAGGCACCACCGCCGAGCCCCAGUGAACACCACCGAACAACCAUUGUCGACUCAAAGCUAGUCGCACCACCUCAACCACUGCCACCGCUGGUCCCUCCGGCUAGUCCCUGCUCCAAAAACAAUGCCCACAAAAGAGGAACGACACAAUGCGCAGCCAUCAUCCGAUCUAAGAGAGCACAGAUCUAUGGUUUUUCACGAAGCAAGAGAUGAUAAGAAAGAGGAAUGCAUCACCACAACAACACCUUCAAGAAGGCAACGACGUCCGAGACGUCGCCGCUGCCGGCUCCGACCAUAGUCAGAGAUAGACGAAAUCGCAUCGUCUUUCACUCCAUAGACCAAACCAGCUAGCCCCACCAUCAACCGCGUGACUGAACUACCACCACCAGUUCAUGCCUUUCAAGCACGUCUCUUUCAGUGGACACAGCGGGAUUGGAGCCUUGAGGUGACAAUGACAAAUAGGCCUGACUCGGUCCCGGCCAUCCCGCGUCUGACAGGCUAAAUGAGUCAAUGGUAUUGUUAAUUUUGGCAACGCGUGCGAUCUUUGCCGUGCAAUGAAAUGCACGAGAGGGCGACCGGCCGUGCGCACAACACACGGCGUGUGGAGAUGUGAGUGGACGUGUGGAAUUCGAGCUGAAUGUACUACUUGCAUUUCUUGGAAGUUCAUACCAGGAUGUUGGCUCUCUCAUUCUUGCAUUUCAAGAUGAAUUCGAGCUGAAUGUACUACUUGCAUUUCUUGGAAGUUCACACCAGGCUGGUGUCUCUCUCAUUCUUCUUGACAAAGACCAUCUCGACAAUUGACAACUCAGCUCAUAUAUCGUCUGGGAAGUUCAGCAUGAGUUUACGAGACGGAGCUGAUUUUACCGGCCCGAAUAUGUCACGUACUCCCUCCGUUCUUAAAUAUAAGUCUUUUAAGCGAUUUCACUACGGGUCUACACACAAACCAAAAUGAUUGAAUCUAUACUCUAAAGUAUGUCUAUAUACAUCCAUAUAUAGUCCACUAGUGAAAUCUCUACAAAGAAUUAUAUUUAAGAACGGAGGGAGUAUAUUCGUUCAUCCCAGAAUUGUUUUGGGAGAUCCUCGCAUCCCAUUUCAUUUAUAUCUACGGAAGGGGCUACUCUUUUUACAGUAUUCUCUAUCAUUUGCGGAAAGAAAAUUUCAACCCCAACAACUUCCCUCGUAACUGGCGCCGCGGCCUCCCCUGCUUGAUUCCGGUCAAAUCUCGUCCCCGCCACACGCGAGCUGCCACACGUCGCCGCUGUCGGUCGUCCGCGACCCGCAUCCACUUCUCGCUGCCAUAUGCGCCAGCCACGCACGAGUUUGCAGGUCGGCCACCGGGUGCAACAACAACGCGCAACGUAGCCGCGUACGUGUUUUGCUAGCUAGCUAGCGCGAGCGAGGCAGCAACAAUGGCUCGGGCCGCCGUCGACGUUGUGCGCGGCAAUAGCGAUGGAGGGAGGAGCCUCCGGCAAUGACGCGACAGCAAGAGCUCGGCCGGUGCGGCCGUGGCCUGGGAACCGAAAGACCCGACUGUAAUUUAGAUUACGCUUUCAGGGGAGUUUAUGUAAUUUUGUUAGAAACAUCAAUUUUUUAGGGGAUCUGUUCUAGCAAAACAAAAGCCGUGAAAAACAUUUCAUGGUAUUUGUAAACCAAUUUUCAUGGGAUAUACCAUCCGGUACAGAGGCUCUAACGACAGUCAUGUUCUAGGCUCCUAGCAAACCAUUGUAUGGUUAGAGAGACCAUGGUAUCCCCAAUCAUAGGGUAGGCAUGCGUGUGUGCAUUUAUAAAGAUGAAUGUAUGUGCGUGUAUUCUCUUAAUCAGAACUAAAUGAAGUAACAUGAGUCUUGCUUGUGUGGCUGGCCUUCAAGCUAACUUUCUGCGUGGAAAGAUCACCGAAAUCGAUUUGUACUAAGCAUAACACAUUUUUCUUUGAUAAAUGACGUUGUAGGCAUUUUUACUUGGUGACGGUUGGGCAUGCGGUGGUAUGGUCUUGACAUGGGACGUGACCCUGGUUUCGUUGUUGAGCCCGCAUACAACAACGGGGACCUCCUAUUUGCCGAGCAUACGAUUUAGCUGUUAAGAAGUAUUAGUAUUAGUCUAGGAGUCCUUAUUAGUCUAUGUUUACUUUCAUUCCUUACACCUCAAGUCAUAUGUAAUAUAUAUAUGCCCCUUGGGCCUUUAAUAUAGAUAAGUUGCUUUCCUAACAUGGUAUUAGAGCUUAGGCUAUUUUUUUCGGGCGCCGCAACUCGCCCUCCCGAUCCAAUCUUCUAUUACGCCGCCUUCUCUCGCUGGCCGAUGUCUCCUCCUCAAACCUCGGUGCUGGAUAUCUCGCGCAUGUGUCCCUGUCGUCGCGCUCCAGGGCGUUCCAGACCCUGGCCCGCUCCUCCUCGAGAAGCGCCUCAUCCGGCCGCUCCUCUCCCUGUCGUCGCGCUCGAGGGCGUUCCAGACCCUGGCCCGCUCCUCCUCGAGAAGCGCCUCAUCCGGCCGCUCCUCUCCGUGCCGUCGCGCUCGAGGGCGUUCCAAACGAAGGGCCACCAACCCCCGGAUCCAGAGGAGCACCAACGCUGGCCAGAUCGAUAGAUCGAAUCCUCCUGCUGCUGGCUCGCCGGCCUGCUACCUCGGGACCGCGGGUCUUCUGCAGUCGACACCGCCGCCCCACCACCGCCCCAUCCCGCCGCCGCCUUCCCGUGUGCAGCCGCUUCUCACUCGCGUGUGUCAACUCGUGCAGCCGUACAUGCGUAUUGCUCUCCUCCUGCUAUCAUGUGCAGCUUGCCUACAUGCUUGCUCCUUCGUUUGUUAGCUCUUUCUGCUAGCUACUUCCUGCUACUACUACUUUGUUGUUUUGGCCUUUCUGUCAUUUUCCGCUGCGUCCACCAAAUCUGUUGAUAUUUUGUGUUUUCUCAUACCAUGCGAGUCCACCAUACCUUAGUCCGUCAGUCUUUCUUUGGUCCUGAUCCUUUCUAUGCAACUUUUGUGGCCUAUUUGCCCUUGUUGUUUUUUAUAGGAUUUUCUGGACUUCUUUUGCAUUGUCGAUCUACGUUCAUCAUGCCUUAUCCGCCGAGCUUUUUUUGCUGACGGUUGUCGUGGACUAUGAUUUUCUGCACAAUGUUUUAUCUCUUGAUGUGCCAUCUUCUUUUGACAACCCGUCUUCUCUUGAUACUUAUCUUGUAUCUUCAAGUGAUGUGGGGUCUACAUCUAAUGUACCAUCUCUUCGUUCUCUCCUUCGGCGACUCGACAAGUUUUGAAGACUCUUCAUGCUACGACGACACUCUCAAGACGCGGAUUUGGAUUAUCAUUGUUUUUUAGUAUUACACUUCUUCAAAUGCAAUGCUAUUACAUACGCUUUGCAUUUGAGGGAAGGGGGGGGGGUGUUAGGAAGUAUUAGUAUUAGUCUAGGAGUCCUUAUUAGUCUAUAUUUACUUUCCUUCCUUGCACCUCAAGUCAUAUGUAAUAUAUAUAUGCCUCUUGGGCCUUCAAUACAGAUAACUUGCUUUCCUAACAUUAGCCACUCGAGCUAGCGAGCUUUCAUGCUUAUAGAAUAGCAUAAAACCUUAAGACACAUCAAGGCUGAUUCGAAUGUUUUCAAAAAAUCCGACCAUGAAACUUAUUUUUCAAAAACAAAAAGUGAAUGUCUUAUCAAACGGGAAACUCUAACAUUUUUUAAACAUGCAAAUGAAUUUUGCAGAAGCGAUUUUUUUUAAACUAUCCAAAAACUGGGCAGGAACAAUUUUUCAAAAACAGAAACAUUUUUAAAAUUCCAGAACAAAAUUUGGAAACACGAACAACUUUUGCAUGCGAACAUUUUUUAAACUCCAGAACGAAAUUUUAAAACACGGGCAUUUUUUAAAAUUUGAUAACUAUUUUUGAAACAGAACAUUUUCUCAAAACUCCCGAACGAAACAAGAAAACAUGAAUUUUUUUGAAAACUUGUGAACAGAUUUCAGAAAUGGGAACAUUUUUAAACUACCCAAAAAACUGAACAUGAACAUUUUUUUUAAAACAGGAACAUUUUUCAAAUUCCAAAACAAAAUUUGGAAACACGAACAACUUUUGCAUGCAAACAAUUUUGAAACUCCAGAAACAAAUUUGAAAACACGAACAAUUUUUAAAAUUUGCAAACAAUUUGUAAAACGGAACAUUUUUUCAAAACUCCCGAACAAAACAUGAAGACAUGAUCUUUUUGAAAAUUUGCGAACCAACUUUGAAAUGCGACUAUAUUUUAAACUACCCAAAAAAGUGAACAAGACCAAUUUUUCAAAAACAUGAACAUUUUUGAAAUUCCAAAAGAAAAUUUGGAAACACAUACAACUUUUGCGUGGGAACAUUUUUUAAACUCCAGAACGAAAUAUGAAAACAAGAACAUUUUUCUAAAUUUGCAACCAGUUUUUGAAAGGGAAUAAUUUUUUAAAUAUCCCAAAAAAAAAUUAUAAAACCCAGCACAUUUUUUUUAAAAGACAAAAACAUUUUUCUAAUUUGAAGAACAUUUUUUGAAAAUGCUGAACAUUAUUUGAAAAUACAGAUUUUUUUUGGAAAAUCCUAAACAGUUUUUGAAAAUCCAGAACAGUUUUCGAAAAAGUCAAAACAUUUUUUGAAUUGGAGAAACAUUUUUAAAACAGAAACAUAAAAGAAGAAAAAAUAAAAAAGAAACAAAAAAUGAAAUAAAAACCAGUUUAGGAGACCUUCUAUAAGUUUCCCAAAACCGGAAAAAAACGGUUGGGACCUCUAGAAGGUUUUCAAAACGAGGGCGCUGGAGCAGUUAAACAGGCCGGCCCGAUGGGUCGCUCCUCGGUCGCUCGCCUGUGUGAAGCGUCGACAGCUUGACGCAACGAGGCGCAAAUAGUAUAUUCUCAACAACUAACACGGUGACGGGAGCUCCCAAUUGAUGUUGCAGGCGCCAAUUUCCCUAGCUGGCGCCCACCCACCGUCGUCUCGUGAGCCGGCCCAUAUAGAAGCGCUUUGCUCGGUCGCUGGUGGGUUCGCUCCAUCGAUGGCUAGUGGGUGCCCUCCGGUUCGAUCGCUGCUGGGUUCGAUCGAGUCAAACGAUGAUUAAAUGUGAUUUUUUUAAAUGCAAAAAACAGAAAUGUUUGUGAAAUAAUUUAUUUUACGAAUUUUGAAGAAAAGUUCAUGAAUUUAUAAAAAAGUGCACCAAAAUUUUAAAAAAGUUCAUGCAAUUUUGAAAAAAGUUCACCGAAUUUCAUUGAAUUUGAAAUAAUUUCAUCAGAUCUGAAAAAAGUUCAUCGAAUAUGAAAAAAAGUUCAGCAAACUUGAAAAAAGUUCAUUGGAUUUGAAAAAGCUUCAUCGAUUUUUGAGAUCCGCAUCAACCUAAGGCGAGAAGAUAUUUAUUAUAUUUUCACUAGGGCGAAAAGAUAUUUAUCAUAUUUUCACGUAGGGCAAGAAGAUACUUAUUAUAUUUGGCCUCUGCAUCAACCUGACUCAACAACUACUCAAGAUAUCAAAAAUACACGCAACCACAUUGUUAGAAAAGAAAGAAAGAAAGGUGAACAACAUAGUAGCCGCAGCAAACAAUAACAUCUACAACAACAACAACAACAAAGCAAUAAUGGUAGCAACCAUAUGUAACAGUAUAUCGUGAUGAUGUCUUCGAAAAGGGAAAUACAAAUGAGAGUCGCUGUCAUUGGAAUCAACCAUCAAGGCUAGAUCAUGAAUUUUCACUCCGAAGAAUAGUUGAGUAAGCUCUAUGCAAUGUCUUCAACUAGGGAAUGUGACAUGAACGACCUCAUUACCAUGUUGAACCAAUAAAGAUCAGAUCCUUUAAUUUUCAUCCCAAGAACUCGAGCCCUUGCACUGAAAAGCACCACCUAGCCGACUUCGAACUUGUGCUGCCACCACUUCUCGAUCCAUCUCAUAACAGUCGCUCAGACCGAAUCGACCCAUUUCCCAUUUUUAGGGAGCAGGGGUAUGAUCUUCAAUCGAUGAUUAUUUAUUUUAUUUUUGCGGGGGAAUCGAUGCAUAUUUUCGUAGACGUGCAAUGGCAUCCUGGGCAUAAAGAUGAAUUCCAUGCCGAUACUUUCUAGUUGCGAUUUUCCUAAGCAAACAGGACGACUUUUGGAAGCGGAAAUAAGUACCCCCUGUGCUGUGUGUCAUCACCUCUUCGAGAACAAGCUGAGACGUGGCAACCCGAACGCGCCCAGUAGCUGCACACGUCCGGCCUCUCUCUAUGGGCUGGUCACCAGUCACCGGCAACCCACUCACGCGAGCACACGUAGCGCCUCCGACGAUCGUAUCCCGUCGAUCGCCUAUAAAUUGUGCCUCCUGCUGCACCUGCUCACACAACACAGCCACCAGUUGCGCAGCCAAGUGAGGAAGACAACCCACCAGAUUUCUGAGAGAACCAAGAGCAGCACCUGUGCAAGAUGGAGUACCAGGGACAGCAGCAGCACGGCCAGGCGACCAACCGCGUCGAUGAGUACGGUAACCCGGUUGCUGGACACGGCGUAGGCACCGGCAUGGGCGAGCACGGCGGCGUCGGCACCGGGAUGGGCGCGCACGGCGGCGUCGGCACCGGUGCGGCCGCUGGUGGGCAUUUCCAGCCGACGAGGAAGGAGCACAAGGCCGGCGGGAUCCUGCAGCGCUCCGGCAGCUCAAGCUCCAGCUCGGUGCGUGUAUAUAUACUUUACUUGCUUCUUGCCAGCAUUUGCAGAGUGGCAUUUUCCCGCUUAGACUUUGAAUGAAAAAGCAUCAACGCCUUGAAUUUUUCUCGUUGGUGGUGAUAGUCUGAGGACGAUGGCAUGGGCGGGAGGAGGAAGAAGGGUAUCAAGGAUAAGAUCAAGGAGAAGCUCCCUGGUGGCCACGGUGACCAGCAGCACGCCGCCGGCACCUACGGACAGCAGGGUAUUGGCAUGGCCGGCACCGGCGGCACCUAUGGGCAGCAGGGUCACACUGGGAUGACCGG